GGUUAAGCGACUAAGCGUACACGGUGGAUGCCCUGGCAGUCAGAGGCGAUGAAGGACGUGCUAAUCUGCGAAAAGCGUCGGUAAGGUGAUAUGAACCGUUAUAGCCGGCGAUGUCCGAAUGGGGAAACCCAGUGCAAUUCGUUGCACUAUCGUUAACUGAAUACAUAGGUUAACGAGGCGAACCGGGGGAACUGAAACAUCUAAGUACCCCGAGGAAAAGAAAUCAACCGAGAUUCCCCCAGUAGCGGCGAGCGAACGGGGAGCAGCCCAGAGUCUGAAUCAGCUUGUGUGUUAGUGGAACGGUCUGGAAAGUCCGACGGUACAGGGUGAUAGUCCCGUACACCAAAAUGCACAGGUUGUGAACUCGAAGAGUAGGGCGGGACACGUGGUAUCCUGUCUGAAUAUGGGGGGACCAUCCUCCAAGGCUAAAUACUCCUGACUGACCGAUAGUGAACCAGUACCGUGAGGGAAAGGCGAAAAGAACCCCGGCGAGGGGAGUGAAAAAGAACCUGAAACCGUGUACGUACAAGCAGUGGGAGCACCUUCGGGUGUGACUGCGUACCUUUUGUAUAAUGGGUCAGCGACUUAUAUUCUGUAGCAAGGUUAACCGUAUAGGGGAGCCGCAGGGAAACCGAGUCUUAACUGGGCGUUAAGUUGCAGGGUAUAGACCCGAAACCCGGUGAUCUAGCCAUGGGCAGGUUGAAGGUUGGGUAACACUAACUGGAGGACCGAACCGACUAAUGUUGAAAAAUUAGCGGAUGACUUGUGGCUGGGGGUGAAAGGCCAAUCAAACCGGGAGAUAGCUGGUUCUCCCCGAAAGCUAUUUAGGUAGCGCCUCGUGAAUUCAUCUUCGGGGGUAGAGCACUGUUUCGGCUAGGGGGUCAUCCCGACUUACCAACCCGAUGCAAACUACGAAUACCGAAGAAUGUUAUCACGGGAGACACACGGCGGGUGCUAACGUCCGUCGUGAAGAGGGAAACAACCCAGACCGCCAGCUAAGGUCCCAAAGUCAUGGUUAAGUGGGAAACGAUGUGGGAAGGCACAGACAGCCAGGAUGUUGGCUUAGAAGCAGCCAUCAUUUAAAGAAAGCGUAAUAGCUCACUGGUCGAGUCGGCCUGCGCGGAAGAUGUAACGGGGCUAAACCAUGCACCGAAGCUGCGGCAGCGACACUAUGUGUUGUUGGGUAGGGGAGCGUUCUGUAAGCCUGCGAAGGUGACCUGUGAGGGUUGCUGGAGGUAUCAGAAGUGCGAAUGCUGACAUAAGUAACGAUAAAGCGGGUGAAAAGCCCGCUCGCCGGAAGACCAAGGGUUCCUGUCCAACGUUAAUCGGGGCAGGGUGAGUCGACCCCUAAGGCGAGGCCGAAAGGCGUAGUCGAUGGGAAACAGGUUAAUAUUCCUGUACUUGGUGUUACUGCGAAGGGGGGACGGAGAAGGCUAUGUUAGCCGGGCGACGGUUGUCCCGGUUUAAGCAUGUAGGCUGGUUGUCCAGGCAAAUCCGGAUAAUCAAGGCUGAGGUGUGAUGACGAGGCACUACGGUGCUGAAGUAACAAAUGCCCUGCUUCCAGGAAAAGCCUCUAAGCAUCAGGUAACAUUAAAUCGUACCCCAAACCGACACAGGUGGUCAGGUAGAGAAUACCAAGGCGCUUGAGAGAACUCGGGUGAAGGAACUAGGCAAAAUGGUGCCGUAACUUCGGGAGAAGGCACGCUGGUGUGUAGGUGAAGUCCCUGCGGAUGGAGCUGAGACCAGUCGAAGAUACCAGCUGGCUGCAACUGUUUAUUAAAAACACAGCACUGUGCAAACACGAAAGUGGACGUAUACGGUGUGACGCCUGCCCGGUGCCGGAAGGUUAAUUGAUGGGGUUAUCCGUAAGGAGAAGCUCUUGAUCGAAGCCCCGGUAAACGGCGGCCGUAACUAUAACGGUCCUAAGGUAGCGAAAUUCCUUGUCGGGUAAGUUCCGACCUGCACGAAUGGCGUAAUGAUGGCCAGGCUGUCUCCACCCGAGACUCAGUGAAAUUGAACUCGCUGUGAAGAUGCAGUGUACCCGCGGCAAGACGGAAAGACCCCGUGAACCUUUACUAUAGCUUGACACUGAACAUUGAGCCUUGAUGUGUAGGAUAGGUGGGAGGCUUUGAAGCGUGGACGCCAGUCUGCGUGGAGCCAACCUUGAAAUACCACCCUUUAAUGUUUGAUGUUCUAACGUUGGCCCCUUACCGGGGUUGCGGACAGUGUCUGGUGGGUAGUUUGACUGGGGCGGUCUCCUCCCAAAGCGUAACGGAGGAGCACGAAGGUUAGCUAAUCCUGGUCGGACAUCAGGAGGUUAGUGCAAUGGCAUAAGCUAGCUUGACUGCGAGCGUGACGGCGCGAGCAGGUGCGAAAGCAGGUCAUAGUGAUCCGGUGGUUCUGAAUGGAAGGGCCAUCGCUCAACGGAUAAAAGGUACUCCGGGGAUAACAGGCUGAUACCGCCCAAGAGUUCAUAUCGACGGCGGUGUUUGGCACCUCGAUGUCGGCUCAUCACAUCCUGGGGCUGAAGUAGGUCCCAAGGGUAUGGCUGUUCGCCAUUUAAAGUGGUACGCGAGCUGGGUUUAGAACGUCGUGAGACAGUUCGGUCCCUAUCUGCCGUGGGCGCUGGAGAAUUGAGGGGGGCUGCUCCUAGUACGAGAGGACCGGAGUGGACGCAUCACUGGUGUUCGGGUUGUCAUGCCAAUGGCACUGCCCGGUAGCUAAAUGCGGAAGAGAUAAGUGCUGAAAGCAUCUAAGCACGAAACUUGCCCCGAGAUGAGUUCUCCCUGAGACUUUAAGUCUCCUGAAGGAACGUUGAAGACGACGACGUUGAUAGGCCGGGUGUGUAAGCGCAGCGAUGCGUUGAGCUAACCGGUACUAAUGAACCGUGAGGCUUAACCUU
rnacentral:rRNA from 1 species